AGAGCUGGGAAUCUGUGGCCAGAUAUCUCUGUGUUGGUGCUCUAGAUACUCUUCAGACAUCCUGCUCCAGCCUACAUACAGAAAAGGCAAGAUCUCCACACCAAAAUUCACAGAAUGACUCCAUUCCCCAGCAAACCUUGUUGAUUUGGUCUGGAAAGAGAGAAGUUCCCUUCACAAGCUCAGAUCUGUCUUGGAGAAGAUGUAAAAGUUGCAUCUAAGAGGAGUUAAGGAGUUUGGUUUUGGUAAUCAAAAGAUGGCUUGCCCUCUCCUCUGUUUCUCCACAUUUUCCAGUUAAUUUUGCUGAACUGGGAAUCUUGCUUUGGGUCUCAGCUGACAGAGACCCUCUGCCACUGACACAAUUUAUAAUCACUGAUGUACACAGGUGACAAUUCCUUCUCCCCUUUUGGUACAAUAGGUCCUCUGCAUGUUGUGAUUCAGCCAAAUACCUGCUCUCCCUCUCAUCCCAGGCAAAAUGACCUGCAGGAAGAAAGAGGAGAGGGCAGGAACAAUGAUCUGUGAGCAAAAGCAGAGUUUCAGCAGAGGAAGGAAAAAGUCUCAGCUCUGACAGUCACCAUCCCAUAGGUGAAGGGCUCUAUGCCUCUUGUCCACUGCCUCCUCCUCCAUAAGAGCAAGACAAAAGGGUGCAAAUUUUGCAGCAAAUGAAGUGUAACUUGGAUAUUAGGGAUGUUUCUUGCUUGUUGUGGGUUGAGAGAGUGCAAAGUGCUGGAGCAAGGUUGUGGAGGUUUUGGAGGAGCAGUUGAACAGGCAGAUUUUGGAACCACAGGAUGUUGUUUGAGCCAUUACAGACUGAGGGAAGUUCCAUCCAGGGAACUGCAGAUGAGGGAGGUCCAUAGGGAUGCAGCUCCCAUGGGAGGAUGUGUGGGUGGUCCUGAGCAGAGCAGAGGCUGAGAAGUGCAGCUCUGGAAGCAGCUCCCUAGAGGAUGGGUGGC